GAAUUCUGUGUUGGAAUAUAGUGAUAUGGGGAGAGUUGGCUCCUGGCCCGUAUCUCCACUCACUGUAUCAAUCCUGUGAUUGCCCCCUUUUAUCAGACUUCUGACUCUGUUGUGCACCUCAAGGGCCUCAUAUAUCUAAACUGUGUUCACAGAUCCUCAACCCUAAGCACUUCCUGGACCACCUCUCAGGCCUCGUGCACCAUGCUGACCACACAGCCUGUCUUCAAGACCCCGGAGAGAGGCCAUGAAGGCUUGACAUCAUUCGCUCGAGGGAUACCAGGAGCCACUAGCUGAAGCAUGAUGUAGACCUUUGCUACGCACAGCACCAGGGACAUAAUUAGAAAUGCAGCAUCUCAGAUCUGCUCCAGGAUGCCUAAAUUAGAAUCUGCACGUUGGCAAGAUCCUCAGGUGUUUCUUAAACACAUUUGGGUUAGCAAAACACAAACAAAAAGGAAGGGGUGUGGUGGGUAGAGGGUAGGAAGGGUAGCUGCUUGGUUCCAAGGCCUCCUCAGGCUAUGGACAGAGGCAUGGCCGAAAGAAGGCUAGGAUGGCGCUCGCUAAAAAGCAUGCUUGCCAAUGUCUGAAGGUCAAUAAAGGCCGGGCAGACCGCAAUACGGAUUCGGUAGGCCUAGCAUAAGAGACACAUGCCGCACUUCACGAAGGGGAUGCCGAGGGCGUCAGCCCUGCCUAAAGGGGGCAGCUGGUGAUCAUCUUCAGUUCACUGUGGCCCUGAGGAUGGAUAGCAGCCAUGAGGAAAGAAGAAACUUUAUCAAGUUUCACUUCUUAAAUCUUCAAGUCUGUGCUUCAGAUGACUCCCAGUCAAGACCAAAAUGUAUAGAUUAUAUGCAGUGGAAGUUGGAGGUCAGGGGAUUGGCAUUUGAAGAAGAAGAAGAAGAAGGAGGAGGAGGACGAGGAGGAGGAGAAGGAGAAGAAGAAUGAGAAGGAGAAGAAGAAGAAAAAGAAAAAAGGAAGAAAGAUGACAGAAUUUGAGAGUUAUAAUUAAAAUGCCUUUUUUGGAUCCUGAAUUAUUACAAACCAAGGUCUAGGAAGAAAAACCCUUCCAAAUAAUUUUCAUAAAAAUAACCUCCCGAUGUAUUUCUGUCCCAUGCAUUCCAGUCUUUAAAUACCAAUGUUAAUGUUACCUUGUUACUUCACUGGAGAUUAAAUGAAUAUAACUUCUUGCACCUUUUGGGUUCAUAUCAAAUUAGAGUUUCUGUCUCAUUGUGUUUAUUUAUCUGCAAACACACAUCAAAGCAGACACUAUGUGCGUCUGUCUUAGCUAGUGGAGAACACAAGAACUUUUUUUUCAGAGUGUCAUUGAUACACUCAACCAUUUCCAUCUUUACUGACUCAUUUGUUGGGCCUAAGACUAUCACAUGGGAGUGUAUGGGCUAGCACACAUUAGUCCUAAAAAAGCUACAAGCAUUAAGAAAGGGUAAGCAUAACUUUUUUUUUCCUUUUUUUGUCUAUCAUGGUAACAUGCAUUGACUUGAUGCUCUGUGUAACAAAG
rnacentral:lncRNA from 1 species